rnacentral:misc_RNA from 1 species
CGAUUUCACAGCAAAAAAGACGAGCCCGGGAGAUAGCGAAGAGGCAACGCAGAUGCGGCCAAACCCAGAUAAUUGUAGCAACUAGGAGCACAUAAGCCAUACUUAUACAUACAUACAUACAUACAUGUGUAUGUACAUGCACGACACAACCAUAUCCACAUGAAAAUUAGAGGCACCAUACCAGAAACUUUUCAAUUUUUUUGGAUGCAUGUCAGUCAUUAGCAAUUAUUGCCUUCAUAUAAAUACCUGUUUUCCUUCUACCUGCGCAUAGAUAAUUCAUUGCCUCACUUUCUUAUUCUUCUUGCUGGGUGCCGCAUGUUGGACCCUUUGUCUCUUUCUGUUGUUGGUUUCGUUGAUGAUCGCUACUUCUUUUUAUUGCCUAUACCAGCAACAGAUAGUGCUUUUGCUGUUGCUGUUGUCGGGGGUCGGGUUUGGUUUUGUUUUGGGUUUUCAUAAUGUCGCAGAAGAGGCAGCCUGAGGAGCCCAAGUCUGGCUCGGAAACGAAUAGUCCCGAUGAGAAGAGGAGGAGGUUUAAUUUGAAGACUGUGGUUCAGGAAGUGAUUAAGAUGCAAUCGGUCCACCAUUUGUUGGAACCAAUUCUGGAGCCAUUGAUUCGCAGGGUGGUAUGUGUUUUUCCAUGAUCUGUUUAUUAAUCCAUUAAUUCCUUUGUAAAUUUGUGAUUGAGGAUAUUUCUUUUUGCAUGAUGGUGUGAGGAUGGCUUAUCAUGAUACUGUUGUCUUUUUCACUGAGUUAGUUUUUAAGCCAUCAGAAAUCCUAGAUUACUUAUCAUGGACUUGGAAUCGAAAAUAAGCUGAAAUUUGGAGCGCAUGUUUCAAGCCAUUUAGUGAGUGCCAAGCUUGAGAAAAUUGAACUGGAGGUCCUAUUCAGAAGGAAUAUGACAAUAUCUGUUGUACUGGCCAGACUGUUUUAUGGUCUAAACCUUUUCUUCUACCAUUAUAUGUGAAUCAUCAAUUUCAGGAAAUUCAUAUUUAAUUAAGAUUUAGUCAAUCUUACACUCAACAUGCUUUAGCAACUGUAAAUGAAAGGAAUGCUUGCCAAAAUGCUCUAUUUCAUUUAACUGUUGACAUCCCAUUUACUGUUGCUGUUUAUGAACAAAGCAUAUAACUCAUUUGAUCAUAUAUUGAUAAUCAAUUAUCCAUAUUUUGCUUUUACAGGUCAAAGAAGAAGUUGAAUUAGCUCUUAAAAAACAUUUGGCUAGCAUUAAAAGGUAAGAAUCAAUUUCCAAAGUUUUUGAGAACUUUAUCCAUCCUGAAUUAACGCCUGGCACUAGAAUUGUGUAAUCUUGUGCUUCUUUCUUGCAUUUUUGUGCAGAAAUAGUGGGAAAGAAAAAGAUUCUCCUGAAUCCAGAAGCUUAAAACUGCAGUUCUCAAACAAACUCUCUCUUCCAGUGUUCACUGGAGCUCGAAUUGAAGGAGAAGAAUGUUCUUCUAUACAAGUAGCUUUGAUUGAUAUUCUUACUGGGAAAAUAGUUAACUCUGGGCCUCAAGCUUCUGCCAAGGUGGAAAUUAUUGUUCUUGAAGGUGAUUUUGAUGGUGAUGAGGGUGACAGUUGGACACAUGAUGAGUUUAAGAGUAACAUUGUCAGAGAGAGAGAAGGAAAGAAACCCCUUCUUACAGGAGAUGUGUUUCUGAAUCUAAGUGAAGGCAUUGGUAUAGCGGGUGAACUUUCAUUUACAGAUAAUUCAAGCUGGACUAGAAGCCGUAGGUUCAGGCUUGGGGCAAGAGUUGUGGAUAAUUUUGAUGGAACUAAUAUAAGGGAGGCAAAGACAGAAUCUUUCAUUGUCAGGGAUCACCGUGGAGAAUUGUACAAGAAGCACCAUCCUCCAUCUCUUUUUGAUGAAGUAUGGAGAUUAGAAAAGAUUGGAAAAGAUGGGGCUUUCCACAAGCGAUUGAGUAGGGAAAAUAUCAACAAUGUGAAGGAUUUCCUGACUCAGCUCUUCAUGGACCCUCAAAGGCUUCGUCAUGUUCUUGGCGCAGGAAUGUCUGCUAAGAUGUGGGAAGUAACUGUAGAACAUGCACGGACUUGUGUCCUUGAUAAGAGAAUGUACUUGUAUUACUCUUCUGGUUCUCAACAGAAAAGUGGUGUGGUCUUCAAUGUUGUGGGACAAGUUAUGGGACUAAUUUCAGAUUGCCAGUAUGUUCCUGUAGAUAAGCUGUCUGAAACUGAGAAGGCAUGCCAACUUUGUUUUAACCCCAUAUUUUGUUUUACUUGGAUUUUUUGGUACUUGUUUGUCUGUCAUUUAUGGCUUCUUGUGGUCAACUUUGCCUUCAGGUUGAUGCUCAAAAUUUGGUAAUUGCUGCAUUUGAACACCCAGAGGAGGUUAUCUCCUUUGAUGAUGAAGCGUCUCUUGUGGAUGGCUCUUCACACUUGUUCAACAUUCCUUACCCCUCAAGUUCACCCAGGACAGAGAAUUCUAAUGGAAGCAAGCUUUUGGCUUCUUCACACAAGAUGAGUGGAUUUGAUUAUGCACAACCAAAUGCUUCUUCUCCUGAUACCAUUUCAUCUAUCUAUUCUGUGGGGGGUGUGAGCAGCUUGGAUGAUUAUGCCUUGUGCAGUAUUGAAAAUAUGGGUCUUAGAUAUGAUCAGACAUUGAGUUUCCCAGGCCAAGUCUCCAACCCUCUCAUAUGUGAGACUGAUGCCGUGACUCAAGCUUUCUGUGAUGAGGAUCAUCUGCGGUUUUUUGAUACAGAUCUUCAGUCUCAGAACCUUAGUUUUGAAGCAUCAGCUGACUUGCAAAGUGCUCUGGAUGGCUUCUUGUUGACGCGUUCGACAGCUGUUGCAGUGGAUAAGGCUCAGAGGAGAUGGACAAAGAUCUCGAGUGUGUUGAAAUGGUUCUCUAUUAGGAAACAUGUGGCUUUAAAAAAGACUUGUGUUCGAGAAAUUCAUAGAUAUUAGUGGAAUAUGCACAAAUUAUAAUGACAGUGGCGAAUAUAGUAUUAGAAAGUGCUGCCCGAGUAAAAUUUUGUGCAGUUUUGGAUACAGUUCGGGGUCAAAAGUUGUAGAUACAUCUGAUCUAUAUAUAUUUUGGUUCAGCCGUGGAGAUUAGGAAAUCUUUUCUUUUGACAUUAAACUGUAUAUAUGUAGAUGCAAUGCAUUGCUUAAGUUGAAGCCUGAAUACAAGAGUUAACAGCCGCGAAAAAAACACUUGUGCUUGAAAUUCUGUACCUUUCAUGUUGUAUUAUUGUAUUUGUGCAUUUGUUCAAUAAAAGAAAUUGAAUCUUUUAUAAACAAAAAAAAACACUUGUGC